UACGUAGGGGGCAAGCGUUGUCCGGAAUCAUUGGGCGUAAAGAGCGUGUAGGCGGCCCGAUAAGUCCGCCGUGAAAGUCCAGGGCUCAACCCUGGAAUGCCGGUGGAAACUGUCGGGCUGGAGUCCGGAAGAGGAGAGUGGAAUUCCUGGUGUAGCGGUGAAAUGCGCAGAUAUCAGGAAGAACACCCGUGGCGAAGGCGGCUCUCUGGUACGUGACUGACGCUGAGACGCGAAAGCGUGGGGAGCGAACAGG
rnacentral:rRNA from 1 species